rnacentral:rRNA from 1 species
AUUGAACGCUGGCGGCAGGCCUAACACAUGCAAGUCGAACGAGUGGCGGACGGGUGAGUAAUGUCUGGGAAACUGCCUGAUGGAGGGGGAUAACUACUGGAAACGGUAGCUAAUACCGCAUACCAUCGGAUGUGCCCAGAUGGGAUUAGCUAGUAGGUGGGGUAACGGCUCAUCUAGGCGACGAUCCCUAGCUGGUCUGAGAGGAUGACCAUCCCCAUUGGACCUGAGACACGGUCCAGAUUCCUACGGGAGGCGGCAGUGGGGUAUAUUGCACAAUGGGGGCAAGCCUGAUGCAGCCAUGCCGCGUGUAUGAAGAAGGCCUUCGGGUUGUAAAGUACUUUCAGCGGGGAGGCGUUACCCGCAGAAGAAGCACCGGCUAACUCCGUGCCAGCAGCCGCGGUAAUAC